ACCCGCACAAGCAGCGGAGCGUGUGGUUUAAUUCGUUGCUACACGAAGAACCUUACCUGGGUUUGACAUUAUAGGUUGUAGGGAACUGAAAGGGACCGACCCUUCGGGGAGCCUAUACAGGUGUUGCAUGGCUGUCGUCAGCUCGUGUCGUGAGAUGUUCGGUUAAGUCCGCUAACGAGCGCAACCCUCGUCGUAUGUUAUAUGUGUCAUACGAGACUGCCGGUAAAAAGCCGGAGGAAGGUGAGGAUGAUGUCAAGUCAGCAUGACCUUUAUAUCCAGGGCUACACACACGCUACAAUGGUCUGUACAAUGGGUAGCCAAGCCGCGAGGCGGAGCCAAUCCUGAAAGCAGGCCUCAGUUCAGAUUGCAGUCUGCAACUCGACUGCAUGAAGCCGGAGUUGCUAGUAACCGCAGGUCAGCAAUACUGCGGUGAAUACGUUCCCGGGUCUU
rnacentral:rRNA from 1 species